rnacentral:rRNA from 1 species
AGAGAUAAAGCGGAGGUAUUCGGGGAGGACAGGUGGUGCAUGGUUGUCGUCAGCUCGUGUCGUGAGAUGUGGGUUAAGUCCCGCAACGAGCGCAACCCUAUUGCAGUUACCAUCAUUAAGUUGGGGACUCUAGCGAGACUGCCAGUGAUAAACUGGAGGAAGGUGGGGGAUGACGUCAAAGUCAUCAUGCCCCUUAUGACCUGGGCUACAAACGUGAUACAAUGGCUGGAACAAAGGGAUGCGAAGCAGUGAUGUGGAGCGAAACCCAUAAAAACAGUCUCAGUUCGGAUUGAAGUCUGCAACUCGACUUCAUGAAGUCGGAAUCGCUAGUAAUCGCGGAUCAGAACGCCGCGGUGAAUACGUUCUCGGGGUUU